rnacentral:rRNA from 1 species
AGCAGCCGCGGUAAUUCCAGCUCCAAUAGCGUAUAUUAAAGUUGUUGCAGUUAAAAAGCUCGUAGUUGAAUUUCGAGAUCGGCUUACUGGUCGUGCUAUUGUACGUACUGGUAUAAUCGGUUUCUCCUUUCUGACGAACUAUAAUGCCAUUAAUUUGGUGUUUUAGGGAAUCAGGACUGUUACUUUGAAAAAUUAGAGUGUUUAAAGCAGGCUCACGCUUGAAUACAUUAGCAUGGAAUAACGGAAUAGGACGUUUGAUUCUAUUUUGUUGGUUUCUAGGAUCGACGUAAUGAUUAAUAGGGAUAGUUGGGGGCAUUAGUAUUCAAUUGUCAGAGGUGAAAUUCUUGGAUUUAUUGAAGACUAACUACUGCGAAAGCAUUUGCCAAGGAUGUUUUCAUUAAUCAAGAACGAAAGUUAGGGGAUCGAAGACGAUCAGAUACCGUCGUAGUCUUAACCAUAAACUAUGCCGACUAGGGAUCGGAUGAUGUUAAUUUUUUAAUGUACUCA